rnacentral:misc_RNA from 1 species
ACCAAUAAUAAAUGUGAUUAUGUAAUAAAUUCUCCUUAAAGAUUUCAUCUUUUUCAUUUGGCAUUAAAAAAAAGUUGAGCUUACAAGUGUGCUAGCUUUUAAUAUUAAAACAUUGUAAAUUUUGGAUAUUUCAAAAACUGCAAUUUGUUCAAAAGUUUAAUCAAUAAGGAACUAAUUUAAUGUUGUGUUUUUGGUUUAUUAUUGUAACUUUAGUAACUGGUGUCACCUAAGUAUUGGUUUUACAGGCUAGAUCCAGGCUUACUUCACAAUAUAUUUAUAUAAAUGGAUGAAGUCCUACGAAAUCCAGUAUUUCAAAUUAAGUUGUCUGAACUACUUGGUCAGGAUUGGUUUAAAAUUGGUAUUUACUUAAAUAUCGAACAGCGUAGUUUAGAAUCAAUUAAGAGUGAUUCUAUAAAUUUUUCAAAACAAGAAUGCAAAGCAUACGAAAUGUUAAAAAAAUGGUUCAAUUUUGAUGAAAAACCGACAUUUGAAAAGUUAAAACUUGCCAUUUUAAAUAUUCCGAAAAUGGACUUAUUGAAGGAGGUGGAGGAUCUUGCAAGUGGGUUUUUCACUAUGUCUUCAUAUUUAUCAGAAGGUGUUUCGAAAACAGAUUUGUUAAGAUUGUCUGCUGAACUCAAAAAAUAUUACCUUAAAUAUUAUGGAGAAAUUAGUGAACUUCAAACACUACUAAAAACAUCCACAAAUCUUGAUCUAAGACAUAAGUUUGUUGAUCUAUGUAUUGUUGAUGCAGCAAAAACUCAAAUGGAUGCUGUUUUUAGUGUUGAACGAAAUGAAUUUCUUAAAAAGCAAAUGAGUUAUACACCAAUUCCAUACAGUAAAGUAUUUACGCAAGAAAAAUCUGUAAUAUUAAUAUCUGGAAUCGCUGGUAUUGGAAAAACAUGGUUGCUUAGAAAAUGUCUGCUUGAUUGGUCAAAUGAUUUAAUUUGGAAAAAUGUUGAACUUGUUUUUUAUUUAGAAUGCAGGAGGAUUAAUCAAUAUGAAGAUAUUUCUAAUAUUAAUGAUUUACUAAGCUUUUUUUACAAAGAUAUUAUAAGUAACUUCAGUAUUAGUUUUCAUACAACACUGUUUAUUAUUGACGGGUUAGAUGAGUUUAAAUAUUUUAAUGAGUUAUCGAAUCCGGAAAUAAAAUGUAACUAUCCAAUUGUUAAUGUUUUAGCAGAAAUUCAAAGUUAUAAACAUUUAGUUGCUGGUAGAGUUUAUGCAAUAGAUCAAUAUCAAAGUAUAUAUACAGAUCGUAGUGAUAAGUUAACCAUUCAAAUAAUGGGGUUUAACGAAAAUGGAAUAACAAAUUAUGUAGAAAAUCAUGUUAUAGAAGAAAAUAAAGAAAUUGUAAAAGCAACUUUAAAGGAAUCUCCAAUUGCAAAAGCUAUGGCAUCAGUUCCUUUUUACUUAUCUUCCAUGUGUAAAAUUAUAAGUGAUUCAAAAACAAUAAACAAAAAUUCUUUCUUAACAAUGACAGAUCUGUAUGCAAAUAUUUUUUUAUAUUUUUUGCAAAAACACAUCAUAAAAAACAAUAAAAUGAUUUAUCAGAUAAUGGAAAACGAUUCUAAUAAAAAAUAUAUUUUAAACAUUUGUAAAAUUGCAUUUGAACUUCUUGUUGAAAAUAAAGUAAUUUUUUCUAAAGAAGAGUUUCAAACUUUUGUUAGUGGCUUUGAUAAAAAUGAAGGUAAUUUUUUUGGAUUUAUAGAAAAGAUUGAAACAAAUCUGGGUUGUUAUUAUCAGUUUGCUCACUUGACUAUAAUGGAGUUUUGUGCAUCUGUAUAUGCAUAUAAUUGUUUAAGUAGUGAUGAAAUUAUGACUAAUAGAAAGCUGAAUAGUUGUUUAUCAAUGAUUUGUGGAUUAUCUAAUGCUAGUCAAAAUAGUUUAUUAAAGUUUCUUGUUAACUUGAAUCCUUUGAAAAGGUCCUAUGGAAAACCUAUCCUUUUGUAUUCUAUUUUGGAACAUAUUAUAAAUGAAUGUUGAUGUAACAGUUGCUAAGAUUUGCAUUCUUGUGAGAGCUGAAGGAACUACUCAUCUACUUAGUGCUCCAUGGGUUCCUUCCCAUACAGGAUUAAAUUGGUUUAGGCUAUCAAGGAGAUUUUGACCGAGUUUGGUAUUGCUGAUUAUAUAAGAAUGGUUUUCUUUGACACUACUGCUACCAAUACUGGAAUAAUUUGUUGUGCUAAAUGCAGAUUGAGUUUUAGAUAUAUUCUUGGAACAUUAUCAGUCAGCAGUUACCAUAGGUCAGCAGACCUGGCAAUGUACUUUUGUUGAUGUUGAUAAUGACACAGUUUAUUGAUCACUUCAAUUCGCAACAGGUUUGUCAUUCUUAGUUUAAAGAACAAGCAGAUGAGGCAAGAAAUCUUUUAAUAACACUUGUUAAUGAAGGUGUUUUCAAAUAUUUUCAGG